AUUGAACGCUGGCGGCAGGCCUAACACAUGCAAGUCGAGCGGAUGAAGGGAGCUUGCUCCUGGAUUCAGCGGCGGACGGGUGAGUAAUGCCUAGGAAUCUGCCUGGUAGUGGGGGAUAACGUCCGGAAACGGGCGCUAAUACCGCAUACGUCCUGAGGGAGAAAGUGGGGGAUCUUCGGACCUCACGCUAUCAGAUGAGCCUAGGUCGGAUUAGCUAGUUGGUGGGGUAAAGGCCUACCAAGGCGACGAUCCGUAACUGGUCUGAGAGGAUGAUCAGUCACACUGGAACUGAGACACGGUCCAGACUCCUACGGGAGGCAGCAGUGGGGAAUAUUGGACAAUGGGCGAAAGCCUUAUCCAGCCACGCCGCGUGUGUGAAGAAGGUCUUCGGAUUGUAAAGCACUUUAAGUUGGGAGGAAGGGCAGUAAGUUAAUACCUUGCUGUUUUGACGUUACCAACAGAAUAAGCACCGGCUAACUUCGUG
rnacentral:rRNA from 1 species